rnacentral:rRNA from 1 species
CUGGCUCAGGACGAACGCUGGCGGCGUGCCUAAUACAUGCAAGUCGAACGGUCUUUCUAUGGAAGCUUGCUUCCACUGAGAAGAUAGUGGCGAACGGGUGAGUAACACGUGGGUAACCUGCCCAUAAGAGGGGGGAUAACAUCCGGAAACGGGUGCUAAUACCGCAUAGUUUCUUGAUCGCAUGAUCGGGAAAGGAAAGACGGCCUUUGUGCUGUCGCUUAUGGAUGGACCCGCGGCGUAUUAGUUAGUUGGUGAGGUAACGGCUCACCAAGACGAUGAUACGUAGCCGACCUGAGAGGGUGAUCGGCCACAUUGGGACUGAGACACGGCCCAAACUCCUACGGGAGGCAGCAGUAGGGAAUCUUCCGCAAUGGACGAAAGUCUGACGGAGCAACGCCGCGUGAGUGAAGAAAGGUUUUCGGAUCGUAAAACUCUGUUGUCAGAGAAGAACAAGUUGGAGAGUAACUGCUCCAGCCUUGACGGUAUCUGACCAGAAAGCCACGGCUAACUACGUGCCAGCCGCUGC